CACCCUCAAACUCUCUCACUCUCAUAAACGCUCUCAAACACUCGAAAACUCUAAUGAUCCCCUUCGUUUUCCUGAGCAAUCUCACCGAAGUCCAUGGCAUCUCAGGCCAUGGACAACUUGUGCUCACCAUCGUUAAGUCGUAAGCCAUGUUUGUUCCAGAUUUUGAGGUCUGACCUCGAUGGUGUUCGAGCAGAUCCUCCAGAGAUCUGAGGUUCUAUGGCCUCUGCGACCUCGUUCCGACUUAUUCGAGCCUUAAGAUCCUAGCUAUGGCUCAGAUCGACUCAAGACCAGACUCUUUCCAAGCCUUCUCAUUUCUAUGCUAUCUAAAACCCUAAAGCUAUUCGAGGUUCCUUUUGCUUUAUUUACUUUGAUAUGUGG
rnacentral:lncRNA from 1 species